CCUACGGUGGCAGCAGUGGGGAAUAUUGGACAAUGGGCGAAAGCCUGAUCCAGCCAUGCCGCGUGUGUGAAGAAGGCCUUCGGGUUGUAAAGCACUUUCAGUGGGGAAGAAAGCCUUGGGGCUAAUACCCUCGAGGAAGGACAUCACCCACAGAAGAAGCACCGGCUAACUCCGUGCCAGCAGCCGCGGUAAUACGGAGGGUGCGAGCGUUAAUCGGAAUUACUGGGCGUAAAGCGCGCGUAGGCGGUCUGAUAAGCCGGUUGUGAAAGCCCCGGGCUCAACCUGGGAACGGCAUCCGGAACUGUCAGGCUAGAGUGCAGGAGAGGAAGGUAGAAUUCCCGGUGUAGCGGUGAAAUGCGUAGAGAUCGGGAGGAAUAUCAGUGGCGAAGGCGGCCUUCUGGACUGACACUGACGCUGAGGUGCGAAAGCGUGGGUAGCAAACAGGAUUAGAUACCCCAGUAGUC
rnacentral:rRNA from 1 species